ACCACCAUCUUGCUCACCCAUGUCUUUGCUUUACACAUGUGGCAACUGAGGCCCAAAGCGGGCACACUUCUCACCCAAGCCAUGCCCGGCAGAGCUACUUCCCAAAGUCCAACAGACCAGCUUCUGAACAGGAGAAUAAGGAAUGACUAAGCGGUCUCCACCAACAGUCCCUGCUUCCUGGAGUAUGCAGAAAGUAUGGCAAAGACUGACAUUGGACUAAUAAGUGCAGAUGAACAAGAGAAAAUGAAACAGUUUUUUACAUAUUAGAAAAUAAAGCAUAUUACAGUGAACCAUGACCAUUCCUAACAGUGACCUUUGAAGUCUCCGAAAGGAGGGUGGGACCCCACUGCAAUGAUUCUACCUGGAUUGUGGUAAUGUCACUAAGCUGACAAACAUCACCCAAAGUUGACUUUGGACUACAAACUGCUCAGGACAAUUUCAAGGUGGCGAGCUGAGAUGGUCCAGCCUUACCGACUACUCUAGCCAGGAUUUGAGUUAAGUCUUGCACUUUCUAUUACACAGAGACUGGGCAACAAAUGAUACAGCUAGCUCUUCCCAAAACUUGACAGUUAUUAUUGUGGGCCAAUAGCCUUGUAACCUAUAAAGAUUUGUCACUUGUAUUGGUUUAUUACAACACUGAUUGGCCAGUAGCCAGGCAGGAAGUAUAGGCA